CACAGAGCAGCUAAACGAUCAGUUAUGUAUCAACAGAGAAGUCAUUAAGAAGACAGACUCAUUUAAUAUGCUUAUAAAGUCAAGAUGGGCACGAAUGAGAGAAACCAGUGAAAUGUACUCAAGUGUUAAAAGAAGAGGAAACAAGGACAGAAGGAAGGAUGGAAAGAAGGAAAGAACCUGAGGACGGGCCGGGCUCGAUUAUGGUGGAUGUGUUUACCGUGAGGCUGAUUGACACAAACAUCACCUCUGUCUACAAGAACGUAUGUCCAAAAGUAUGUGGACAUCUAAAGAGACAUGCAUCGUCAGUGUUUCCUCCAGAUGUUGAACCUGCUGAUGCCGAGCGGUCAGGUCUGACUCUGCGUCUUCAUGAAGCUGCUCUGUCAUCAGUGCGAGACCGACACGAGCCACGAUGAUCUUAUUCCUCAAACACGUCUAUAUGAUGGAACAGGUUUCAGUUUGAGUGACAUGAUGAUUUGAUGUAAAGACGCUUAAUGUGCAAAACUAAAAACAAACCUAAGGAUCCAUAAAUCUGUUAAUGUAACAAUAAACAGGGUUUAAAUUAAUGACCCUCUUACAUUUUACAUCUGCUUCUCCUUAAUUUUUUGAUCUUUAUAUUAAAUCCUGUAUAAUUUCAUAUUUAAUAUCUUUAAAUAUAGAUGAAAAUAUUUUAAUAAUUUGUCUUAAGGGUAAAAACCACUGACAUAAUGUACAUGAUACUGUUUGUAUGUUUGAAUCUAUUGGAUUUUUAAAACUUUGAUAGAAUUAUAUAAUUGUUACUUUCAGUCAGUAACGAGACGGAGAGUUUAUUUUCCUCCUAAACAGUGAUGGUGUCCAGAUACUUUUCUUUUCUUACUCCUCUUCGAGGUCAGAACAUUCAGAUAUAUCAGAUGAAUAAACUCGAGUCUCUGACAGUCAAAGAUCUGCAAAAUGAAUCCUUUCUUGUUUGUUUUUUUAUUAUUUUUUUUAUUUUGUUUCAAAUCCAGGUCAACAGCAUACAACUUUCAAUGUCAGGUCCUCGGUUAGCUCAGUGGAAACAAAGUGAGGACCGGCUGCAACUCCAAGAGCAUGCUUGCUCAGCAAACGGCCCCUGGAUCAGUACAAAAGGAACAAAGGUCACUGCCGUCCGUCCGUCCGUCCGUCAGCAUGACAUCAGAUAAUCGCUCUCGAGAAAUUCACACGUGGGGCGAGAAUGAUCACAAAAAAAAAAGUAGUUUUUUUUCUCUUCAAGCAUUUUCAAAUGAACCUACAACUAAAAAUAUAUUCUCACUCCAUCAAUGGAAUCACCGUCAAGCUCUCACAAAGAAGCACACGUCUCAUAAAUAGAUCUGCGGCCCGCGACUCGCCCUCUCAACCGAAGACGCCCGUUUCCCCCGUCAGCGACCUCGCUCAGUCUUCACGUUAACGGAGCACAAGAAAACAACGUGAUGACAGAAGGAUUGUUGUCAGUCAGCAGAGAUCACACAGAGGACGCAGAUUAGAAGAGAUUCUGAAGAAAUCGGGAUUAUGAACAGAGACAUCUGUGAGUUUGGAAUU